rnacentral:rRNA from 1 species
CACGUAGGGCGCAAGCGUUGUCCGGAAUUAUUGGGCGUAAAGAGCUCGUAGGCGGUCUGUUACGUCUGCUGUGAAAACCCGGGGCUUAACCCUGGGCUUGCAGUGGAUACGGGCAGACUAGAGUGCGGUAGGGGAGACUGGAAUUCCUGGUGUAGCGGUGAAAUGCGCAGAUAUCAGGAGGAACACCAGUGGCGAAGGCGGCUCACUGGUCCGGUACUGACGCUGAGGUGCGAAAGCGUGGGGAGCAAACAGG